GAUGAACGCUGGCGGCGUGCCUAAUACAUGCAAGUCGAGCGAACGGACGAGAAGCUUGCGUCUCUGGUUUUAGCGGCGGACGGGUGAGUAACACGUGGAUAACCUACCUAUAAGACUUGUAUAACUUCGGGAAACCGUAUCUAAUACCCGAUGAUAUUUUGAACCUCAUUGUUCAAGAGUUAAAUACGGUCUUGCGGUCAGUUAUGGCUGGCUCCGCGCUGCAUUAGCUAGUUGGUAAGGUAACGGCUUACCAAGGCAACGAUGCAUAGCUGACCUGAGAGCGUGAUCGGACACACUGGAAGUGAGACACGGUCCAGACUCCUACGGGAGGAAGCAGUAGGGAAUCUUACGCAAUGGGCGAAAGCCUGACGGAGCAAAGCCGCGUGAGGGAUGAAGGUCUUAGGCUGGUAAAACGAUGUUAUUAGGGAAGAAGAUAUGUGUAAGUAACUGUGCACAUAUUGACGGUACCUAAUCAGAAAGCCACGGCUAACUACGUG
rnacentral:rRNA from 1 species